rnacentral:rRNA from 1 species
UACGAAGGGGGCUAGCGUUGCUCGGAAUUACUGGGCGUAAAGCGCACGUAGGCGGUCUUUUAAGUCGGGGGUGAAAUCCUGGAGCUCAACUCCAGAACUGCCUCGAUACUGGAAGACUCGAGUCCGGGAGAGGUGGAGUGGAACUGCGAGUGUAGAGGUGAAAUUCGUAGAUAUUCGCAAGAACACCAGUGGCGAAGGCGGCUCACUGGCCCGGUACUGACGC